CCUACGGGUGGCAGCAGUGAGGAAUAUUGGUCAAUGGCCGUAAGGCUGAACCAGCCAAGUAGCGUGAGGGAAGACUGCCCUAUGGGUUGUAAACCUCUUUUAUGCGGGGAUAAAGGUGUCCACGUGUGGAUGUUUGCAGUUACCGCAUGAAUAAGGACCGGCUAAUUCCGUGCCAACACCCGCGGUAAUACGGAGGAUGCGAGCGUUAUCCGGAUUUAUUGGGUUUAAGGGGUGCGCAGGCGGUCUGUUAAGUCAGCGGUCAAAGCCCGGGGCUCAACCCCGGCCAGCCGUUGAAACUGGCAGUCUAGAGUGGGAGAGAAGUAUGCGGAAUGCGCGGUGUAGCGGUGAAAUGCUUAGAUAUGACGCAGAACCCCGAUUGCGAAGGCAGCUUGCUGCAGCGGAACUGACGCUGAGGCUCGAAAGCGCGGGUAUCGAACAGGAUUAGAUACCCGAGUAGUC
rnacentral:rRNA from 1 species